UACGGAGGAUGCGAGCGUUAUCCGGAUUUAUUGGGUUUAAAGGGUGCGUAGGCGGACUGUCAAGUCAGCGGUAAAAUUGAGAGGCUCAACCUCUUCCCGCCGUUGAAACUGGUGGUCUUGAGUGGAUGAGAAGUACGCGGAAUGCGUGGUGUAGCGGUGAAAUGCAUAGAUAUCACGCAGAACUCCGAUUGCGAAGGCAGCGUACCGGCAUCCAACUGACGCUGAGGCUCGAAAGCGUGGGGAUCAAACAGG
rnacentral:rRNA from 1 species